rnacentral:tRNA from 1 species
GGGUAGAUUGGUGUGCACUACGGUUCAUUGGAGAUGCGCAGAUUUUCGCCUUCACACGGCAGGGGUCACAUGUUCGAUCCAUGUAUCACCCACCA